CGCGGCCUAUCAGCUUGUUGGUGAGGUAACGGCUCACCAAGGCGACGACGGGUAGCUGGUCUGAGAGGACGAUCAGCCACACUGGAACUGAGACACGGUCCAGACACCUACGGGUGGCAGCAGUCGAGAAUCAUUCACAAUGGACGAAAGUCUGAUGGUGCAACGCCGCGUGGAGGAUGAAGGCCCUAGGGUCGUAAACUCCUGUCAUCAGAGAGUAAGCCUUGGUCGUUAAUAGCUUCCAAGGUUGAUAGUAUCUGAAGAGGAAGGGACGGCUAACUUCGUGCCAGCAGCCGCGGUAAGACGUAGGGACCGAGCGUUGUCCGGAUUUAUUGGGCGUAAAGAGCUCGUAGGCGGUUGCGUAAGUCGGAUGUGAAAACUUGAGGCUCAACCUCAAGACGCCAUCCGAUACUGCGCUGACUUGAAUCCAGUAGGGGAGUGUGGAAUUCCUGGUGUGGCGGUGAAAUGCGCAGA
rnacentral:rRNA from 1 species